GGCGUUGUCAUAUCCUGUGGAUCCACCACGGCCCUUUGGGUCCAAGAAGGAAGAACCACGGUACGAUGGAACCAAGAAUUUCCCGGUGAAGCUGUCUGGUUUGCCUGAGGCGUCCAGCUGUUUGACUGUGAAGAGGAAUGGCACACGCUCGCCUCCUGGGAGCUGAACAGUAACUGCAGCGUAGUCGAUUCCAUCUUCUUCCUUGAAGUUGACGCUUCCGUCUGAAGCAACCUACUCGAAACAAAUAAAAGAGACGAUCAAUCACAAAUCGUAACCCUGAGCACACAGUUUCUUGCGGUAUAAACAAAGACGCAACAAAAAUGAAACCUCGAAGGGUCCUUCGAUCUCGUCAAGGGUGUAGGUGAGACGGGUCAUGAGCUUCGUGUUCUGGAACUCAGGAGGUGCGUUCUUGCUCACGCUCUCUGCCUUGACAGUGAAUGAAGUAGGCUCGAAGCAGAACUUCUUGCCAGCGUACUUUCCGGGCUUGAAUGAGAAUGUCUCAGAGCCACCGUCGAUAGUUGGGCACUGGUUAGCGGUUCCAGUUCCUUUCACUUCCAUGUAUGUCUUGCUCUGAAUCUCAUCGUAGGUCAGUCUCUUCGGAGCUCCCUCUGCACUUGCUCCCUGCAUUACAGGAGAAACAUACAGCUUUUAAGUCAAGUGAUCCAACAAGACUGAGUCGAAGAUUACAAGAACUGGAAUAGCGGUUUCUCGUUCUACUACGCUAAUCCGAAUCAGUUAUUGGUUUAGGUGUUCUGCUCCGUUUUCAGUUUAAUAUAAAUUAAUGUAUACAUAGUAAUGCAAAUCAGAGUUAUGCUAUAUGAAACACAAAAGAAAAUUCUUCCCAGUUACUCAAUUCCUCUCUGUUUCUUGAUUAGUCUAUAGUUCAUAAUGAUCUUUAUCGAAGAAUCUGUGAGAGAGGAGAGUAGGUGAUUCGAGAAAGUUACCGAGACAACGAGAGCAGAGGUGGCAAGAGCGAAUCCGGCAAUUUUUACAGCGUCGGAGCAUUUUCCGGCCAAGUCCUUGAAGUCAGACUGGAAGGAGCAAGUGAGGCGAGCAGAAGAAGUUUCUAGCCCGAAAGAUUUGCCAACGGUCUGAGUGGACCGGAGGUGAGCACUGCCGCGAGAAGGAGCGGUGGAGAUCUUCGCCGACUGGAGGAAUGUGGCGGCGGAUUGGAGAGAGGCUGCCAUGGCCACAAAGUGUCUCAGAUGGUUUUUGAGAUUUUGUUUUGUGAUCCAAAGCU
rnacentral:lncRNA from 1 species